AUUGAACGCUGGCGGCAGGCCUAACACAUGCAAGUCGAACGAGUGGCGGACGGGUGAGUCAUGUCUGGGAAACUGCCUGAUGGAGGGGGAUAACUACUGGACACGGUAGCUAAUACCGCAUACCAUCGGAUGUGCCCAGAUGGGAUUAGCUAGUAGGUAGGGUAAAGGCUCACCUCGGCGACGAUCCCUAGCUGGUCUGAGAGGGUGACAGGCGCCACUGGAAAUGAGACACGGUCCAGACUCCUACGGGAGGCAGCAGUGGGGAAUAUUGCACAAUGGGCGCAAGCCUGAUGCAGCAAUGCCGAGUGUAUGAAGAAGGCCUUCGGGUUGUAAAGUACUUUCAGCGGGGAGGCGUUACCCGCAGAAGAAGCACCGGCUAACUCCGUGCCAGCAGCCGCGGUAAUAC
rnacentral:rRNA from 1 species